AGAAUCAACGCUGGCGGCGUGCCUAACACAUGCAAGUCGAACGGGAAAGUGGAGCAAUCCAUGAGUAUAGUGGCGACCGGGUGAGUAACACGUGACUAACCUACCCUUGAGUGGGGGAUAACCUCGGGAAACCGGGGCUAAUACCGCAUAACAUCUUCGGGAUGAGAAGCUGAAGAUCAAAGGAGCAAUUCGCUUUCGGAGGGGGUCGCGGCUGAUUAGCUAGUUGGCGGGUAACGCCCACCAAGGCUUUGAUCGGUA
rnacentral:rRNA from 1 species